CAGGAAUUUGCAUUUAUGAUAUUCCUCCUCCUACCCCAUCCCUGAGUUGUGUGCAAGUGGCAAGAAACAGGAGGUGUGAUUGUAAACUAGUAAGGUCAGGAUCGUGUGAUUGUAAAGUAGUCAGGUCAGGAUCGUGUGAUUGUAAACUAGUCAGGUCAGGGUCGUGUGAUUGUAAACUAGUCAGGUCAGGGUCGUGUGAUUGUAAACUAGUCAGGUCAGGGUCGUGUGGUUGUAAACUAGUAAGGUCAGGAUCGUGUGAUUGUAAACUAG
rnacentral:lncRNA from 1 species